rnacentral:rRNA from 2 species
AGUCGAGCGAACAGACGAGGAGCUUGCUCCUCUGACGUUAGCGGCGGACGGGUGAGUAACACGUGGAUAACCUACCUAUAAGACUGGGAUAACUUCGGGAAACCGGAGCUAAUACCGGAUAAUAUAUUGAACCGCAUGGUUCAAUAGUGAAAGACGGUUUUGCUGUCACUUAUAGAUGGAUCCGCGCCGCAUUAGCUAGUUGGUAAGGUAACGGCUUACCAAGGCAACGAUGCGUAGCCGACCUGAGAGGGUGAUCGGCCACACUGGAACUGAGACACGGUCCAGACUCCUACGGGAGGCAGCAGUAGGGAAUCUUCCGCAAUGGGCGAAAGCCUGACGGAGCAACGCCGCGUGAGUGAUGAAGGUCUUCGGAUCGUAAAACUCUGUUAUUAGGGAAGAACAAAUGUGUAAGUAACUAUGCACGUCUUGACGGUACCUAAUCAGAAAGCCACGGCUAACUACGUGCCAGCAGCCGCGGUAAUACGUAGGUGGCAAGCGUUAUCCGGAAUUAUUGGGCGUAAAGCGCGCGUAGGCGGUUUUUUAAGUCUGAUGUGAAAGCCCACGGCUCAACCGUGGAGGGUCAUUGGAAACUGGAAAACUUGAGUGCAGAAGAGGAAAGUGGAAUUCCAUGUGUAGCGGUGAAAUGCGCAGAGAUAUGGAGGAACACCAGUGGCGAAGGCGACUUUCUGGUCUGUAACUGACGCUG